rnacentral:rRNA from 1 species
GACAGAGGGUGCAAACGUUGUUCGGAAUUACUGGGCGUAAAGCGCGUGUAGGCGGCUUGGCAAGUCGGGUGUGAAAGCCCUGGGCUCAACCUAGGAAGUGCACUCGAAACUGCCUCGCUGGAGUGCCGGAGAGGAAAGCGGAAUUCUCGGUGUAGAGGUGAAAUUCGUAGAUAUCGAGAGGGACACCGGUGGCGAAGGCGGCUUUCUGGACGGUUACUGACGCUGAGACGCGAAAGCGUGGGGAGCAAACAGG